rnacentral:rRNA from 1 species
AGAGUUUGAUCCUGGCUCAGGAUGAACGCUGGCGGCGUGCUUAACACAUGCAAGUCGAACGGGGAAUAUACUGACAGAGACUUCGGUUGAAGUCGUUAUAUUCCUAGUGGCGGACGGGUGAGUAACGCGUGGGUAACCUGCCUCACACUGGGGGAUAACAGCCAGAAAUGGCUGCUAAUACCGCAUAAGCGCACAAGGGACGCAUGUCCUGGUGUGAAAAACUCCGCGG